GACAGAGGAUGCAAGCGUUAUCCGGAAUGAUUGGGCGUAAAGCGUCUGUAGGUGGCUUUUUAAGUCCGCCGUCAAAUCCCAGGGCUCAACCCUGGACAGGCGGUGGAAACUACCAAGCUGGAGUACGGUAGGGGCAGAGGGAAUUUCCGGUGGAGCGGUGAAAUGCGUAGAUAUCAGGAGGAACACCGGUGGUGUAAACGGCUUUCUGGACCAUAACUGACGCUGAGGCACGAAAGCGUGGGUAGCAAACAGG
rnacentral:rRNA from 1 species